rnacentral:rRNA from 1 species
UGAAUACGAGAUGCUACGGCGUCGAAGCAGUCUAUGUCAUACUUCCAAGAAAAGCUUGCACUGUCAUAAACAAAUAAUGCCUGUACCAUAACCGACACAGGUGGGUAGGUAGAGUAUACUAAGGGGCGCGAGAUAACUCUCUCUAAGGAACUCGGCAAAAUGACUCCGUAACUUCGGGAGAAGGAGUGCCUUAUUUAUAAGGUUGCAAUAACAAGACCCAAGCAACUGUUUAUCAAAAACACAGGUCUCCGCUAAGUCGUAAGACGAUGUAUGGGGGCUGACGCCUGCCCAGUGCCAGAAGGUUAAAGAAGUUGGUUAGCAUUAGCGAAGCUGAUGACUGAAGCCCUGGUGAACGGCGGCCGUAACAAUAACGGUCCUAAGGUAGCGAAAUUCCUUGUCGGGUAAGUUCCGACCCGCACGAAAGGCGUAAUGAUUUGGGUACUGUCUUAGAGAGGGACUCGGUGAAAUAGACUUGUCUGUGAAGAUGCGGACUACCUGCACCUGGACAGAAAGACCCUAUGAAGCUUUACUGUAACCUGAAAUUGAAAUUGGACUUUAUUUGCGCAGUAUAGGUGGGAGGCUUUGAAGAUAUUCUUGCGGGAAUGUUGGAGCCAUCAGUGAGAUACCACUCUUGUAAUGUUAGAUUUCUAACUUUGUAUCAUUAUCUGGUCAAAGAACAGUUUCAGGCGGGCAGUUUGACUGGGGCGGUCGCCUCCUAAACGGUAACGGAGGCGCACAAAGGUUUCCUCUGAACGGGUAGAAAUCGUAUCUAGAGUGUAAAGGCAUAAGGAAGCUUGACUGUGAGACCUACAAGUCGAGCAGGGACGAAAGUCGGUCUUAGUGAUCUGACGGUGCUGAGUGGAAAGGCCGUCACUCAACGGAUAAAAGUUACUCUAGGAUAACAGGCUGAUCUCCCCCAAGAGUUCACAUCGACGGGGAGGUUUGGCACCUCGAUGUCGGCUCAUCGCAUCCUGGGGCGGUAGUACGUCCCAAGGGUUGGGCUGUUCGCCCAUGAAAGCGGUACGCGAGCUGGGUUCAGAACGUCGUGAGACAGCUCGGUCCAUAUCCGGUGUAGGCGUUAGAAUAUUGAGAGGAGCCUUCUCUAGUACGAGAGGACCGAGAAGGACACACCUCUGGUGUACCAGUUAUCGUGCCAACGGUAAACGCUGGGUAGCUAUGUGUGGAGCGGAUAACCGCUGAAAGCAUCUAAGUGGGAAGCCCACCUCAAGAUAAGUAUUCUC